ensembl:rRNA 5S_rRNA 5S ribosomal RNA
GCUUAUGGCCAUACCACCUUAGGCACGCCCGAUCUCGUCUGAUCUCGGAAGCAACGCAGGGUCGGGCCUGGUUAGUACUUAGAUGGGUGACCGCCUGGGAAUACCAGGUGCUGUAAGCA